rnacentral:rRNA from 1 species
CCUACGGGAGGCAGCAGUGAGGAAUAUUGGUCAAUGGGCGGAAGCCUGAACCAGCCAAGUCGCGUGAGGGAGUAAGGCCCUGCGGGUCGUAAACCUCUUUUGCCGGGGAGCAGAGGUCCGUACGUGUCCGGGCCGGGAUAGUACCCGGAGACAAAGCAUCGGCUAACUCCGUGCCAGCAGCCGCGGUAAUACGGAGGAUGCGCGCGUUCGCCGGAUUUAUGGGGUUUAAAGGGUGCGUAGGCGGGCAUUUAAGCCGGCGGUCAAAUGUCGGGGCUCAACCCCGGCCUGCCGUCGGAACUGGGGGCCUGGAGUGGGCUAGAAGUAGGCGGAAUGCGUGGUGUAGCGGUGAAAUGCAUAGAUAUCACGCAGAACCCCGAUUGCGAAGGCAGCAUACCGGCGCCCGACUGACGCUGAGGCACGAAAGUGCGGGUAUCGAACAGGAUUAGAUACCCGUGUAGUC